UACGUAGGUGGCGAACGUUAUCCGGAAUUACUGGGCGUAAAGGGUCUGUAGGCGGUCUGAAAGGUCUGGCGUGACAGUUCUCGGCUUAACUGAGAGAGUGCGUUGGAAACCGGUAGACUAGAAUCACGUCGAGGUCGGUGGAAUUCCCGGUGUAGUGGUGAAAUGCGUAGAGAUCGGGAGGAACACCCGUGGCGAAGGCGGCCAACUGGGAUACACCUGACGCUGAGGCACGAAGGCGUGGGGAGCGAACGGG
rnacentral:rRNA from 1 species